CAAUAGAAUAGCUAAGGCAGUUCAUGCCUUUCACACGAAAGACGUUGCACGGGGCCCUCCCUUCCCCUUCCUGCCACCCCUCCGCCCUCCCACAGGCAGGAAGCACUCCGUGCCCGCUCGCACUGCAGGAGACACACAGCUCUAGUGUGGGCGAAGCCACUCACUCAAACACUUCCAAGGGCACGCUGAUGUCGUGAAGCUGCUGCCGGCACUUGUCGAUGUCCUGUAGGCCCGUCACCAUGAAAUUCCUGCAGGGAGAAAAGCGGAGCUGCUUAGCGCAAAGCGGGCGCUCCUCACUCCCCGCCACCGCGCCCGGCGGGGCCUCAACCCCUGCCCGGCCCGGCCCCGCUCCCGCCGCCAACAGACGCCUCGAACGCAGGGAGCGGCUCACAGUUUCUGGUUGAGGCCGGCCUGACUGCUGGGCUGGAAGUCGCUGACGAUGAUGCCGAGCUGCCGGAUGUUCUCCACGAACUUCUCCAGGUGCUCCUCCAGCGAGUCGAACUUCUCCGCCAUCGCCAUAGCGGCUCGCACUGCUUCCGGGCCACCGCGCAUGCGCGUCCUGCAUAGCAUUUCCAGGAAUUUGUCGGUAGACCCAAACUGGGCGGAUUGGGAUGCACACAACGUGAUGAAAUUGCCAGCACCUCUUCAGAAGGGGUCAGGAUGGAAGCUCCCUGCUCAGUCACUGCUGCAGCAGCCUCCCUGAUUGUGACAGCUGCAUCUGGACCUCGAAGAGCCUUUCUGCCCAGCUUCCAAAAUACAGCCCUGUCCAUUGCUAUAAAGCUAAAAUCCAAAUCUCAAAUCCACUCUCACCAUGGUUUUUCAGUCAUCGUGGUGCUGGGGUCUUUCAGUUCCUCUGGCUGUCCUGCUCUGUGUGGAAAUUAAGCAUUCCUUGAGCAGUGGAAAGAAAAGGUUUGAUG
rnacentral:lncRNA from 1 species